GCCCCGGUAGCUCAGCAGGAUAGAGCAGCCGCCUCCUAAGCGGCCGCAGCGCCGCUGUCUGGGGUG
rnacentral:tRNA from 1 species